AACGAACGCUGGCGGCGUGCCUAACACAUGCAAGUCGUGCGAGAAAGUUCCUUCGGGGACGAGUACAGCGGCGCACGGGCGAGUAACACGUAGGUAAUCUGCCCUCGAGCUCGGAAUAACCUACCGAAAGGUGGGCUAAUACCGGAUAUGCACACGGUAGUUUCGGCUUCUGCGGUGAAAGGUGGCCUCUACUUGUAAGCUACCACUCAAGGAUGAGCCCGCGUACCAUUAGCUAGUUGGUGGGGUAACGGCUCACCAAGGCUAUGAUGGUUAGCUGGUCUGAGAGGAGGGCCAGCCACACUGGGACUGAAACACGGCCCAGACUCCUACGGGAGGCAGCAGUGGGGGAUAUUGCGCAAUGGGCGAAAGCCUGACGCAGCGACGCCGCGUGGGUGAUGAAGGCCUUCGGGUCGUAAAGCCCUGUCGAGGGGGAAGAAUCGGUUGCGACCUAACACGUCGUGAUCCUGACGGUACCCCUAAAGGGAGCACCGGCUAACUCCGUGCCAGCCGCCGCAGUAAAAC
rnacentral:rRNA from 1 species